rnacentral:tRNA from 1 species
UCACUGGUGGUCCAGUGGCUAAGACCCUGUGCUGCCAAUGUAGGGGGUCCGGGUUCAAUCCCUGGUCAGGGAA